rnacentral:rRNA from 1 species
GUCCACGCCGUAAACGAUGGGCACUAGGUGCUUGGGGGAGCGACCCCCUGAGUGCCGACGCUAACGCAUUAAGUGCCCCGCCUGGGGAGUACGGCCGCAAGGCUGAAACUCAAAGGAAUUGACGGGGGCCCCGCACAAGCGGUGGAGCAUGUGGUUUAAUUCGACGCAACGCGAAGAACCUUACCUAGGCUUGACAUACACGGGAAACCUUCCAGAAACGGGAGGCCCUCUUCGGAGCCCGUGCACAGGUGCUGCAUGGCUGUCGU